UUGUCCCUAGUUGCCAGCACGUGAAGGUGGGAACUCUAGGGAGACUGCCGGUGACAAACCGGAGGAAGGUGGGGAUGACGUCAAGUCAUCAUGGCCCUUACGGCCAGGGCUACACACGUACUACAAUGGUCGGUACAGAGGGCAGCGAGACCGCGAGGUGGAGCCAAUCCCAGAAAAACCGAUCUCAGUCCGGAUUGGAGUCUGCAACUCGACUCCAUGAAGUCGGAAUCGGCUAGUAAUCGCGGAUCAGCCAUGCCGCGGUGAA
rnacentral:rRNA from 1 species